rnacentral:rRNA from 1 species
AGUUCCGACCUGCACGAAUGGCAUAACGAUAGUGCGACUGUCUCAACGAGGGACUCAGUGAAAUUGCAAGGGAGGUGAAGAUGCCUCCUACCCGCAACUAGACGAAAAGACCCCGUGAAGCUUUACUACAAUUUGCUAUUGGUAUACGGUAAUUCAUGUUGAGCGUAGGUGGGAGCCUUCGGGCGCCAAUGAGACACCACCCUUGGAUUACUGUAUGCCUAAUUUUCCCCCGUGAAUCCGGGAGAGAAGACAGUGGCUGAUGGGUAGUUUAACUGGGGCGGUUGCCUCCCAAAAAGUAACGGAGGCGUUUACAAAGGUAGGCUUAGCUCGGAUGGAAAUCGAGCUGGACGCGCAAACGCACAAGCCUGCUUUACUGCAAGAGCUACAACUCGAGCAGUCGCGAAAGCGGAAGUUAGUGAACCGACCAUCCUUCAUAGGAAGGUGGAAGAUCAACGGAUAAAAGCUACUCCGGGGAUAACAGGCUGAUCUGGCCCGAUAGUCCACAUAGACGGCCAGGUUUGGCACCUCGAUGUCGGCUCAUCGCAUCCUGGGGGUGGAGAAGCUCCCAAGGGUUUGGCUGUUCGCCAAUUAAAGC